UCACAAGAUGCGAUACACUAUCCUAUUCCGACAUUUAUAUGAUUGUCGCCUCUUACUUCUUGGGGAAAGAAAAUCCAACAGAUCCGGCUCUCGAUUCGAUUCCGCUUCUGCUUGGUGGGGUUCACUUCUUUUGCAGAUACACAAGUUUUCCGAUUUCCCUUAUCUCAGGUUAAUUGCAACACUUUUGGUAGCACACUUGUAACAAGAAAAUACCUUCCCUAGGUAUGGAAACUGAGGAUAUGAUUGGCCUCCCUGCUUCCAGCAAUUCUAGAGAUAGCAGUGAGAGCGGUGAAAUUCACAAGUCUGGAUUUGGGUCAGGUGAAGCUGAUUCUCAGCCUAGGAAUUUUGAAGCUGAAGAAGAUGUGGGUGAUGGAGAUAGUUUGAGGCUCAAUAAUGACGUUGAUAUUGAUACAGAAAAAGGAAUAAGAGGCCCUUGAUUGUUUGGCGCUUGUCGAAGACGAUACUGGAGCAGAAAAAAUAUUAGGAGAUUCUGAGGUUUUGGACAGCAAUGAAGAUGAUAUUGGAACAGAAGAACAUGUGACAAGAUUAGAGAACGAAAUAUUAAGUUAUUGAUGCAUUGAAAUAUAUAAUUUUCAACUAACAUUUUAUCCAUCAAAGCAUAAUGGAUUGGAAAUAUUGGUUUAUAUUUAAAUUAAUGCAAAGUAGCAAGAAAUUGCCAUAUUUAUCCAGCA